AUUGAACGCUGGCGGCAUGCCUUACACAUGCAAGUCGAACGGUAACGCGGGGCAACCUGGCGACGAGUGGCGAACGGGUGAGUAAUGCAUCGGAACGUGCCCAGUAGUGGGGGAUAGCCCGGCGAAAGCCGGAUUAAUACCGCAUACGACCUACGGGUGAAAGGGGGGGAUCGCAAGACCUCUCGCUAUUGGAGCGGCCGAUGUCAGAUUAGGUAGUUGGUGGGGUAAAGGCCCACCAAGCCUUCGAUCUGUAGCUGGUCUGAGAGGACGACCAGCCACACUGGGACUGAGACACGGCCCAGACUCCUACGGGAGGCAGCAGUGGGGAAUUUUGGACAAUGGGCGCAAGCCUGAUCCAGCCAUGCCGCGUGCGGGAAGAAGGCCUUCGGGUUGUAAACCGCUUUUGUCAGGGAAGAAGCGCUUUGGGCUAAUACCUCGGGGUAAUGACGGUACCUGAAGAAUAAGCACCGGCUAACUACGUGCCAGCAGCCGCGGUAA
rnacentral:rRNA from 1 species